rnacentral:rRNA from 1 species
GACGAACGCUGGCGGCGUGCUUAACACAUGCAAGUCGAACGGAAAGGCCCUGCUUUUGUGGGGUGCUCGAGUGGCGAACGGGUGAGUAACACGUGAGUAACCUGCCCUUGACUUUGGGAUAACUUCAGGAAACUGGGGCUAAUACCGGAUAGGAGCUCCUGCUGCAUGGUGGGGGUUGGAAAGUUUCGGCGGUUGGGGAUGGACUCGCGGCUUAUCAGCUUGUUGGUGGGGUAGUGGCUUACCAAGGCUUUGACGGGUAGCCGGCCUGAGAGGGUGACCGGCAGCAAUGGGACUGCGAGACGGCCCAGACUCCUACGGGAGGCAGCAGGGGGGAAUAUUGCACAGCGAGCGGAAGCAUGAUGAAGCAACGCCGCGUGCGGGAUGACGGCCUUCGGGGUGUAAAGCGCUUUCGCCUGUGAAGAAGAGUGAGUGACGGUAAUGGGUAAAGAAGCACCGGCUAACUACGUG